UACGUAGGGGGCAAGCGUUGUCCGGAUUUAUUGGGCGUAAAGAGCGUGUAGGCGGUUUGGUAGGUCCGCUGUGAAAACUCGAGGCUCAACCUCGAGACGCCGGUGGAAACCAUCAGGCUAGAGUCCGGAAGAGGAGAGUGGAAUUCCUGGUGUAGCGGUGAAAUUCGUAGAUAUCGGGAGGAACACCGGUGGCGAAGGCGGCGACCUGGGUAGAUACUGACGCUGAGGUGCGAAAGCGUGGGGAGCAAACAGG
rnacentral:rRNA from 1 species